CCUAAAUCCAACGAACCAAUUUUCGUCGCAAUCUGACACUCCUACGUCGCGUACGAGCCGAAACACCGACGGUCGACGCAAAAAUUCUGCAAAAAUAGCAUCCUUGAGCUUGAAGUAGUAAGGACUUGCAACGGUUGAAGGAAUUUGAUGAACACCUCACCUCAACCUCUAUCCGAACUCCGGCGCGACGUCGAGAACAGCGAAAAUCCACGCUCGCCCGGCCUCCUCGCAGCGCUACAACAACGAAGACACGCCCGAAAGGCCCCGCGGCGCGACGUCGGCGAAACUCGAACUCCACCCGAGCUCCUCCACGAUCGGACCAAGCUAGAGAGAGAGAGGAGAAGAAGCCAGAGAAAACUCUCUCUCUCUCUGCUCUACACGUCUAAAUAGAGAGGGAGGGAAUGGGUGACACAAACGAGGUGGACAAAGACCA
rnacentral:lncRNA from 1 species